AAAGAGGAACAGGUUGGGCUUCGCAGGAUUUCACAAGCAGACCAGGCAGAAAUCUGGAGAAGAGAAGAUUUUUGAGAUGCUGCAAUCAAGCACAGCAGUGAUGAACCACUGAGGUGACAUAUUUAACCUACAACUGGCAGUCGCUUCAAAAGGCAGCCUGCUGCACCAAACUGAGAUUUCUGUGACACUGAAGCAACUCCUGAUCAUCAUGCGUCUGGUCUUCAUUUUUGCUCUUCUGGUGCUCUCUGUGAGCUUCGGUGAUGCUCUGAAGUGUAACUUAUGUACGAGUCCAGGAAGCUCCUGUGUGCCCUCCACACAGACGUGCCCGGGCUACAUAAACGCGUGCGGCGCCGUGCUGUUCAGUUCUCCAGUGGUGUACAUCACCCGCAGCUGUAUGAGCAUGUCCAUUUGCCAGAACUUUGCACAGAUGCCGAACGUGGCCGCUGUCUGCUGCACCUCAGACCUCUGCAACUGAACACACCUGGCACACUCAGUGCCAAUGCCUUGCACACUAGAUGUGGCACCACCUUCUGCUGAACCCGCCACCCACAUCUCAAGUUUCCUGGUAUAGAGCGCCACAAUACUCUCUUUCCUAUACUACUCUCUUUGAAUUAGUUUUAAGCUUUAAGCUUAGUGGACAGUAUCAAAACACACAGAAUUGAAGUGGUUUUAGAUGUUAAACUGGACCAAAAAAACUUGUAAUAAUGUAAUAAUACAAUAACACAAUAAACAGCAUACAAUAAGUCA